AUGUUGUUAUUGCAGGAAAACAGGAGAGUUGAUGCACCAAUGGCAGCUCCAUCUGCUCCAGCAGCAGCAAGGGAAAGAGCUCCUUUUGCAACCAGUGCAACAGCAAGGACAGCUCCACCAGCAGCAAGGGCAAGAGCUCCAGCUGCAGCUAGGACUGCAACUAGGGCUAUACCUAGGGCAGCUCCUUCUGCUCCUGCUCCAACAAGGCCAAGUUCAUCUUCUGCUGCUGCUGAUAGGCCUAGUUCAUCUUCUGCUACUGCUGCUAGGUCAAGGGCAAAGAAAACAUUCAUACCACCAAGACUGUCAGGUACUGGAAGAGUGAGAAAGCCAUCAUACAAGAUGUCUGAAUGGUUCAAUUGUUCUCAAGGCAGCAAGAAGUGA
rnacentral:rRNA from 1 species